rnacentral:rRNA from 1 species
AGCAGCCGCGGUAAUUCCAGCUCCAAUAGCGUAUAUUAAAGUUGUUGCAGUUAAAAAAGCUCGUAGUUGAAUUUCGGGGUCAGUAGAUUGGUCAUGCCACUGGUAUGUACUGGUCUCACUGAUUCCUCCUUCCUGAUGAGCCGUAAUGCCAUUAAUUUGGUGUUGCGAGGAAUCUGGACUGUUACUUUAGAAAAAAUUAGAGUGUUUAAAGCAGGCUCACGCUUGAAUACAUUAGCAUGGAAUAACGGAAUAGGACGUUUGAUUCUAUUUUGUUGGUUUCUAGGAUCGACGUAAUGAUUAAUAGGGAUAGGUUGGGGGCAUUAGUAUUCAAUUGUCAGAGGUGAAAUUCUUGGAUUUAUUGAAGACUAACUACUGCGAAAGCAUUUGCCAAGGAUGUUUUCAUUAAUCAAGAACGAAAGUUAGGGGAUCGAAGACGAUCAGAUACCGUCGUAGUCCUAACCAUAAACUAUGCCGACUAGGGAUCGGGAUGAUGUUUAAUUUUUUAAUAGUACUNUACG